CCCGAUAAAAACAUAAAGCUUACAGAUCUAGUAACCAAAUUGUAAUAGUAAUGUAAUAAAGCUGUCCGCAACACCAAAAGCACCCAUUUUUACUAUAGCGUUGAGUGCCUUGACUUCCGGUGAAACUCUCAACGAGUUACGAGUUGUAUCGUGUUAGUGCGGUGAAAAUUCGAGUAUUUCGCAAGAAAUAAAUAAUUUUUAUCCGUACUUUGGUAACUUGACGUUGCAACACAGCGAGGUUUUGCUUGUAGUCCAGUGAAAAGGAUAAUCCACUAGACUGUAAACGGGAAUCAACUGGCAAUAUAGCCUAAGUUAUUGUGCUGUCAAUCGAUAUGACGCCAACCAGAAAGAAGAAGAAAGUGAGUGUCUCCGCAGAAGAAGGAUACUCGGAAGAUGCACCUGGAUGUUCGACUCAGAAACUGGCACCGUUAAAAGAACCAAUUUAUGAUGGCAAACAGAAAUUGAUUAAAUCUUUUCAUUCAUGGGUGAUGCCAUACUAUACUCCGAUAUGAAACUUAACAGUCUGUUUCAACCGAUAUCGCGGCCGAUUUAUAAAUGUACAGGACUAGUGCAUUGAUCCUACUGGUACUAAGAAUCCUUCCAGGUCGAAAUUCGAACAUACAACGAUCGAUAACAGCGAUCAAAUUUGCAUAUGAACGCAUCACCCGAAGUUUAGAAUGAGAAUAACUAGCCAGGUAUGAAGAGAAUGCUUUGAAAGAUACUAAACUCGUUCCAUGAUCGAGGUCAUCCUGCAUUUCCUCGAAUACGAAUAAAUAGCCAAAUUUCGAUCCAAAUGUGCCUCGUGCAAAUCGAACGGCGCACAAAACUAAUCCAUAAACUCUCCAGCAGCUGAUGUGCAUAAUACAUAAUUCAAAAAGUCCCGAUGGCCCAGAGAUGGCGUUUAUUUUGUCAAACUAACCUCAUUUUUCGAAUUUGCCAACCCUUAAAUAACAUGCGUCAUUUCUUCAUCAGUCAGACCACAAGCAAUAAAACUACCGAUGUAUAAGUGACGUUACUUAUUCAUUUAUGAAAAAUGGAAACCUAGUAAUGGUUUGAGAAGUAUUACACACACUCGGGUGCAUUAAAAACAAAAAAAUGUGGUAUUCUGAUUUCAAUCGUGGAAAAUUUGGAAAAGGUUAAGCAAGUUUUGAUAAUCGUGAUAGAUGAGCGAAAAAUCAAAGUUCAAGGAAUUAGAGAUGGUUACCAGAUCAACUGGAAGUGCUUUUACGAUCUUACGCGGAAAUCUGGGCAUAAAAAGGUC